GGCUCAAUGGUCUAGAGGUAUGAUUCUCGCUUCGGGCCGCCACCCCCCAGUUCAACUGGGUCUCCAUCCUCGGGAGUUUGCGAGAGGUCCCGCGUUCGACUCGCGGUUGAGCCC